ACCUCCUGGACAUCAUCAUCAUCUUGCUUUCCGUCAUCAGCAUUGUUGUCACCCAGUUAAGGAUGGCAAACGUCAUUCCUUUCAAUCCCAGCAUCCUGAGAGUCUGUAGAAUCCUCAGGCUCUCUCAAGUGCUGAAGGCCAAGACAAUAAGAAUCCGAAUGAAAACCAUUAUCAAGACUCUGUCUCAGGACACAAUGAGGAAAUGCCGACCUGAUGACACCAAGUGUCAGAUAUCUCUUCUGGGUCUCUCCCUUUUACUUUUCAAGUUUUGUCAUUAUUGCUGAGUUUAUGUUGGCAUACAUGGUGAUAGCAUCGAUCAUGCAAGCCCUAAAAGACUCUGAGGAGGAAGUUGAGACAAAGCUGCUCAGACAACAAAUGUCUCCAUCAGCAGAGGGCAAUGCAGAGAUCUCUACCUUGGACCAAACUGAUGAUCGAUCCACACCAUCUGAUUCAAUCAGCCUGUAACACUAAAAUCUGUUGUUAAAAUGGCAAAUGUUAUGAAUAAUCACCCAUGUUUUGUAAACUAAUAUAGCAAAUUGAAUUUUUGUUUCUUUCA